rnacentral:rRNA from 1 species
UACAGAGGGUGCGAGCGUUAAUCGGAAUUACUGGGCGUAAAGGGCUCGUAGGCGGCCAACUAAGUCAGACGUGAAAUCCCUCGGCUUAACCGGGGAACUGCGUCUGAUACUGGAUGGCUAGAGGUUGGGAGAGGGAUGCGGAAUUCCAGGUGUAGCGGUGAAAUGCGUAGAUAUCUGGAGGAACACCGGUGGCGAAGGCGGCAUCCUGGACCAAUUCUGACGCUGAGGAGCGAAAGCCAGGGGAGCAAACGGG